rnacentral:rRNA from 1 species
AUGAAGACCCAAUAUAUGGAUGUGGACACCUCAAGUACGUCUCGUGGAAGAGGCAAGAAUAAAAGGAAGUGGACUUCGGAUGAGGAUGAUGAACUUAUUAAAGCCUUGUAUGAGUUGUCUUUGGACCCAAGGUGGAAGGCAGAUGGUAGCUUCAAAAAUGGAUACCUGGUGGUAUUGGAGAAGCACCUUGCUAAAAAGUGCCCGGGUUGUGGUAUCUCUGCAAUUCCACACAUCGAGUCAAGAGUGAGGCACUUUAGGACAAAAUUUGGUGCUCUUGAAGUAAUGUUAUCCAAAAGUGGUUUCACAUGGGAUGGAAACCAGAAGAUGAUUCAAUGUGAGAAGGCAUAG